CUGUUUACUCGGAUUUGCAGGCGAGGAAUUAACUUGUCUAUCGUGUUCGUUUGAGAGGAAAAGCGACGAUGGGCGAGGACAGAUUUGCGGGAUGUAUAGGUUUUGGAUCACCUGCGAUGGAGAAGAGAUUUGUAGUGAUUUAUGUUAAAAAGUCAUGUGUACCCUCAUCGUUUUAUUAAAUUUCAUCCCAAUUUUUCACAAGAGCUUCCAUUCCACAACGAGAAAGAUGAAGGCCUAACGAAGAAAAAAAAAACCAUGGCGAGAAGGCAGAAUGCGAAACCAGAACUAUCGUCCUUCGCCGGCAACGAACAACGACAUCGUCGCACCAUCCAUUGUCCCAAGCUCUGAAGGAUCUCGCCGUCACCGUCGCCACCGUUGCACGAACAUGAAACCCCAUGGGUCGUGCCUCUGCCGCUGCGUCACACCGAACGAUUGCUGCUGCUGCAUCGCCACUCACCCCAAAGUUGUCGCCAGCUAGACGAACUCUGCAGCAGUGCCACCAUUACAAAACCAAAACGCAGGCCCCAUGACUAGUA
rnacentral:lncRNA from 1 species